rnacentral:lncRNA from 1 species
AGGAAUAAAUCCUUGGAUGUUUUACUUGAUAGGACUUUUCAAAGUCCUCUCUUUAGUCCAGCCUUCAAAGCAAAAUCUGACUACGUAAAGGAACCUGUUCCUGAAAUUGCGUUAGAAGGGCUAUGGUCAAAGCUUUAUGAGGAAGAAGCAAAAUCUGCCGGUGUACUUUUUGUGGCUUAUGGGGGGGAAAUGGAUGAGAUUCCAGAGACUGCAACUCCAUUUCCGCAUAGAGCUGGCAACUUAUACAAAAUCUUAUACGCUGUAGGUUGGCAAAAAGAAGACAACAAAAAUUCCCAGAGGUACGUAAGUUGGAUUAGGAGAGUUUAUAGCUAUAUGAGUUCCUUUGUUUCAAAAUCACCUCGAGAGGCAUAUAUCAAUUAUAGAGAUCUUGACAUUGGAACUAACAACAAAGAUAACACUAGUUAUGCACAAGCAAGUGUUUGGGGUCAUAAAUAUUUUAAGAAUAACUUUGAUAAGUUGAUAAGUGUGAAAACAAUGAUUGAUCCAGAAAAUUUCUUCAGACAUGAACAAAGCAUCCCUCCACUUUUGUCCAGAUGGAAGAAAAGAGGCAAUUAGAGUGUAUAUAACCUUGGUGGACGCUUUUAAUUAGAAAAGCACACAUCAUAGCUCUAAAUAAAAUGUUUGAUUAGUUCUUUGUUACCAUUUCUGGCUGGCAUAAUGCAUGAGUAGUAUGCAUAACCCAUUAAUUACCUUUGGUUGAAACAAGUUAAUGUGUGUUGACAAUGAUAAAUCUUAGCCUUUCUUUCUCCAGAUUUCAUUAUUAGAUACAAAAACAUGCAAAUACAUGUAUAAUUUUAGCUUUUGGCCCUUGUAUGUUCUAAAAGAUUCAGAAUAGUGUAAUGCAGCACAUUUUUCUCAUUUGUUGUGCUAAAAAAUUCUUAGACUUUUUUCAAAGAUUUGACGAAAAAGUUAUCUAACGUUGAAUCAAUAUCUUUUAAAAAACAACAAGGAACAUGUCGGCUCUUGUGCUCAUAUAAGGUAUCUAACGUUCCUACACAUCAAAGACUUUUGCUAUCGGUAUUCGGAUUAUCCUCUUAACCACUAUUCAUUUGUGCUAGAGUUCAAAAUUUUAGACACAAAGCUAUUUAAUCAUUGAAAUUAACAUCAACUUUAUAAAGUUAAUUAAUAUAUUUAGUGAAAAGAAUAUAGUAAAAGUUUAUACAUACAUUUUUUGAAGCUUCUUAAUGUAGCGGUAGCCUUUGCAUCAAAUAUAGACUCCAUAAUUCCAGCUUGCUUUUAGCUUUAAACAAGGUCAAACUGAGCAGUUCUAUCCAAUAGUAAAGUUCAUGGUUAGUAGGUGGCCGUGUCACCUGUUGGUUCUCUCUAAGCAGCCGUGACAGCUGGCCCCGCAUGAUGAUUCUUGGAACAAUUAUUUCAAACAAUGCAACUUGCGUUUACCUUGUCCUGAAAAUUUUAAAUUUAGUAAUCAUUCAAUCUCUACCCAAGUCUAAUAAAUAAUUUUUUUAAAAAAGUACAUAAAUAAAUAAAAAAUCAAUAAAAUAAAAUCCUUAAAAACAAAAAACUUAGAUGAAAGGAUAUACAAGCAUCAUAAAAUAAAACCUAUCUGGAUAUUGUACUGUAUCCAGAAAAGUCCUGCUGAAUGACUACUUGUCCGAACCCACCAGCAAUAUUAAAAAAGACUUGUCUGAAAAAGCUUUUAAUUAACAAUAAAAGCCGACCAAAUUUAGUCGUAUAUCUCCUACCAAAACCGCACUUAAGUCUGUCCGUAAACAUCAUAAUAACGUAGACCGCCACACAUAAUGAGGUACACAUCUCGCUCAAGCCACUUAAGCCUACAAACUGGAAUCUCAUGCACACCUCACGAUCCAUAUCCAGCUGACCGAAUUUCGUGGUACACGUCCAACCAAAACCGCACUUAAGUUUAUCCGUAAGCCAGCAUAAUAACGUAGACCGCCACUCAUAAUGAGGUCCACAUCUCGUUCAAGCCACUUAAGCUGACAAAUUGGAACCUCAUGCACACCUCACGAUCCAUAUACAGCAGACCGAAUUUUGUGGUAUAUGUCCAAUCAAAGACGAAACUAAUUAAUUUUUGUUGAGAUUCAAAGAUAAAAAAAUUAAAAAUUAAAAUUUUUUAAAAUUAAUAUGUUGAAUUUAACCAACGAUCAAAAGAUUUAUAAUAGAUAAUAAUUUUAUAUAACAUGUAAGUAAGAAAAUAAAAAAAAUUAUAAUAAUUAUUUAAGAAAGUUAUGCUUGACAAUGUUUUCUAGAUUCAAAUUCAUCAAUUAUUGACUUUGUAUUGAAAAGACUAGCAAUGUCUUUCUCAAUAUAAAUAACUAAAUUAUCUACAAGAAACUCAUCAACCAUUUUGUUCCGGAGUCUUGUUUUCACAAUUUUCAUUACUGAAAAGGCUUUCUCUGUAGUUGCUGUAAAAAUUGAAAUAGUCAAAAUAAGGCGAAUUAAUUUAUCAAUCAAGUGGUAAUUCUUUGACUUUUUUGUUUCUGCUAAUCUCUGACAAAAUUCAGAAAGUAUCUUAAUAUCUUAAAAACUUUGAUAAUGAGGUAUAUAGAACUCGUAAUGCCUCAAUUGUAACCUCAAAAUAAGCUUUUCUUGUUCUGUGAAAUCUUGAAAAUAAAAACUCUCUGCUAACUUGCAGUUAUUAUCAAUAUUGAAUGAUUUGUAAUUGUUAUUAGGAUUCAAAACAGUGCUUAAAGUUAAAAGUUUCAUAGCUUGCUCAUUGAAUUUCGAAUUCAAUUCUUGUAACUGAGUAUCUAUCGUCACUAAGAAUAUAUCAACUCGAUAAUGAUGCUCCACAGUUACAUCUAGUUGACGAGAUCGACCUUUGCCCAAGAUAUAUCGUGCACCCAUGUCAGGAAUUUCUAUCUCAUGUUUUUGACAAAAUUUUUUCACAUUCUCAGAUAAAUUAGACCACCCAUCAUCUCUCAACUUCUGAAGGAGUGAUUUUGUAGUAAAACCAAGAUGAAUUGCAUUUAAAAUAUCUUAAGAGCGUAAUUGUAAUGCUUGGCAAAGAACAUUAGUGAUUCCCAUGAUCUCAUACAUCAAGUGUAAUAUGAAAAUAAAUUUAAAUGAUGCUAAUAUUUUACUAGCAGCAGAAGCAUCACCUCUUUGUGAAUAACUGGCCCCUUCAUCAAUAAUACUUUUCACAACAGUGCAAGUUGCAUCAAACAUUCUCAUCAAGCUAUAAAUAGAAUGAAAGUGUGAGCUCCAUCGAGUAUCUCCAGCUCUUUGUAGAGUUCCCACUUAAUUUGCUCCUCUACCUGUGUCAAGUUCAUCACUAGCAAUCAUGUUUGCAAUGUCAAUUGCUUGAGCAGCUUGUAAUUGGUCAUGUCGUUUGGAAGAAGCAUUAACAAUAUUUACAAUAGAAAUCAACUAUGUAAAAAAUUCAUGAAUAUGAACUACUCCUCUAAAUGCUGCAACCAAAGUUAAUUGUAAUCUAUGAGUAUAACAAUGCACAUAAUAUGCGUAUGGACAAUCAUUAAGCACCAAAGCUUGUAAACCAUUCCAUUCACCACGCAUGUUACUAGCACCAUCAUAUCCUUGACUUCGAAUACUUUCAACUUGAAGGUUAUAACGAGAAAGAACAGACACUAACUCUUUCUUCGAAGUCAUUGCACUGGUAUCACUAACAUGUACAAGAUCAAAGAAACGUUUUUGAACAAAACCAUCACCAUCAACAAAUCUCAAAAUAAUAGCCAUUUGCUCUAUUUUAAACUCAUCUCGAGCUUCAUCAAUAAUAAUACAAAACUUAGCAUUUCCCACUUCCUCUCUAAUCGAAUUUCUCACCAUAUUAGCCAAAAUAUGUAAAAUUUCCUUUUGAACAUCAUUGGAUGUGUACUUAGUAACACGUGGAGCAUUUUCCAAGACAAGCUUAUGAAAUUUGUCAUUGUAAGAUCCUAAAAAUUUCAGCAUUCAAUGAAAUUUCCUCUAUUUUUUGAGGAUGGACUUUCAUCAUGACCUCUAAAUGCACAAGCUUGAAAAGUUAACCAUCUAACACAAUCUAUAGAAGCUUUGAGCUUAAGCCGAUUAUUCAAGAUCUCUUCUGAUGCUUGUCUUUUGAUAAGCCUAUCAAUACGUUGGGAUUUCUUAAAUAAAUCCUCACAAGAUUUUAUAGCAACAUUGUGUGGGGAAUUUGGAUUUUUCCCAACAUGAUUCAAAAGUGAACAAUUUUCUCCACUAUUUACUUUCUUCCAACUUCUGAAACCCUUUUCAAUAAAUGCAUUUGAACCUAGAUGAUUCGAGGUGUUCUUAUGAAAAAAGUAGCAUGACAAACAAAAUAUAGCAUCUUUGUCACAAGAAUACUCUAACCAAGAAAGAUAUAAUUCAAACCAAGAAGCUUGAAAACGACAAGGAUGAUCAUCAUCUGAUAGAGGACACGUCUUAAGAAUGAGUUGACAUGGCCCACUUUUGAGAUAAGCACGACGAAUUUCAUCCCUUUGAUUGAUAGGAAAUUCCCAUAUCAUUGGUCAUAAUCCAGGGUCAGGUUCUAUAUGAAAAGCAUCAAUUCUUCAAGAUUGAGCCUUGGACGCUUUGAUUCGCACUGCUUUUGUUCAUGAGUUGAAGUAUUAAGGUUUGGUGGCUCAAGCAUAGGAGAAUCAUUUGAGCGAUCUACCUCUUUUCUUUUAAAAAAAAUUGUCAAUUGUUUUCAACUUAUUCAUAUUUUAAUCAAAUCUGAAAAAAAAAACAAUGUAGUCAAUAUUCAAUAUUUUUAUUUAUUUAUAUUUAAACUUAAAAUAUUAAAUAUAAAACUAUAAUGCAUAAAAUGUAAAUAGUUAAAUAUGAUAUACAGGAUUUCACAGAAUGGUUAAAUGUAUAAAUAGUUAAAUAAUAUAAAUAAAAGGAAGAAGAUUAAAAACAAAAACUUUUCCUCCUCUUAAUUUUACACAAUGGUGGUGGGUGAUCUCUAUCUUUCUUUGUCCAAACUCACAAGCUCAUAAAUCUCUUUUUAAGAAUAAAGUGUGUUUUAAUGGUAAGUUACAAGAAAGAGUAAAGUAAAAAUAAAAAGAUAAAAGAGAAGAGAAAAGAAAAAAGAGAAAUAGGUGUAGAGAAACUUAAAUUAGGGUAAAGUUAAAGCAGGUUUGUGAGGUUGUUUGAUUUUUUUAUUUAUAUUAAUUAUUAAAUAAAAAAUUUAUUUUGAGUGAGCCAUUAAUAAUAUAUAAUAAAUAAAAUUUUCCAAAAAUUUUUGAGGGCCUAUUGAUGAAAUAUAUAUAAAAAAUAAAUAUUUUUAAAACCCAUUGUUGGCUUACCCUCCGCCCCCGAAUCAAAACCGCACUUAAGUUUGUCCGUAAAUCAUCAUAAUAACGUAGACCGCCACUCUUAAUGACGUCCACAUCUGGUUCAAGCCACUUAAGCGUACAAACUUGAACCUCAUGCGCACCUCACGAUCCAUGUCCAGAUGAUUCAAAACCGAUCGGCACACUCCAAGGCAAAAUCAAACUCUUACCCAAUAGAAAAUCUAUUGUGAUUAAAACUCAUAAUUAUAAAUAAUAAAUGAAUAUUUGUAUUGUAAAAAAAAUAAUAGAAACAGGAAAGAAAGAGAGAUGAGAGAAUGUUUUUUAUGUACUACUGAAGUAAUGUUUGGUAUGAAAAAUAUCUAGGUGGGGUGACCUAUGAAAUUGCUUACAAAUCAAUACUUAUUACUGUCGUAACGUGCGGGUCUGAGAACCCAACCGCUAGACGUCGACGAAAAUAAAGUGGUUUAGGAGUCGCCACCAAUCGUCUUAUAUCUAGGUGCGAUUGGACACCUAUUAACCCGAUUCUAAUCAACAAAGUCCUAAUUUAAGUUUAGAACGAGAACCGGUCCACGUUUUUUAGAGAAAAGUUCGGGAGUGCGGUUUCGCACGGAGAAGGGUUAGCACCUUCGUGAUGCCCGUUUCACGAACGGUACCAUUUAAUCUUAAGUUAUCCUAUUGUACCUUAAUCCUUGCUUAUUAGUUAAUUUUUUUUAUUAUGUUAGUUGAUUGAGUCUUUUAUUUGGUUUCACGGAUGCACGUGAUGUAAUCGUAAAAUGAUGUUAUGAUUUAUUCAAUUUUAAAUGAUGGAGUCGACAAUCUUUUAUUGGAAAAAUCACUCAAAGAUCAUCCCAACGCUUUGGUGAAGUCUCGAAAUUUUUCUCACCUAGAGAUAUCCCCAGAAAAACUAGUCUCUACAAGCUCCUCGGGGAAAUCCCAUCAUCGAAAAUUCCGCACCAUUUGCAAGAUAAAUGUGGCAUGCUAUGACAGGAUAAAAUGAUGAUGUCUACAUGCACGCGUUUAUUGACUUAGGUGGUUCAUAAUUCAUUCAAUUAUGUGUUUAAUAAUUUAUCACCUUGUUUAUAUGUUUAUUACUAUUUGUUAUUUUUUUAUAGAUUAUUUAUUUAUUUAUAUUUAUUUUUUGUUUUCUAUUUAAAUCCAUAUCCUUUAAUUAACGUUAUUGAUUAAUAUUUUACUUGAUUAUAUAGCUUAUAAAUAAUUAAUUAAUUUUUAAACGAUUAAAUUACCUUUAUUUAGUAAUAUUUAUUUAAGCUAAUUAACUAAUUAUAUUAAUUUAAAUUCACAUGCAACAUUAUAUAAAUUUUCUUUUAUAUAUAUUAUUUUUGACAACGAUUAUUUGAUUUAACAGGUAUUGAAGUUUAGAGUUCGGAUUUAUCCCGACGCUUCGGUGAAAAUCCGUCUCGAACUUCACUCCCAAAAAAAUCCACUCAAAAGAGGCAACUCUUUGUCCUUUUUAGGUAGUAGUACUCAAAUAACCGUUCCAUUAUAUUAUUAUUAUUUUUUAUGUUUGUAUCAUGAGUUAUUUAUUAUUAUUAUUUUUUUAUUUUGAUUAAAAUAAACAUUCAUAUUAUAUAUAUAAUUAUAUAUAAAUAACCUUUCCUAAUAUGGUUUAAAUUAUAACAAAAAAAUAUAUUUUAUUUAACAAAAUGGGUUAGACCCAAAAGCAAUUGAAACAAGCCCAUAUCAAAGAGAAGGAUUAUACCUUUCUAGGCUCAGUUUAGUCCAGCUCAAUGGCCCACAGAAGCCCAAAUCUGCUACACCCGAUCUGCUUCUUGAGGCCCACAAGGCAGAAUUCGAAACGCGAUGUUUGGUACCUGGGACACUACUCUAUACGGCACCGUUUAGCCUUGAACCUUUUAGUUCCCCGCUCCCUGAAAUGGUGCCUUUUGGUUCUCUUACACCUAGAUAUAAAAACCUUUUUUUUGGCCUUUUCUAUUAUUUUCACCUUCCUCUUUCUCUCUCUAGCCCAAAUGCUCUCCUUUCUCUCUAGCUUCAAGCCACGGCCCCCCCUUUCACCGUCGGCCUUCACUCUCCCUUACGUCGGUGGCUUGCCUUUAACCGGCGGCCCAGGUGUUCUUCCCCUCUCUACCGGUGCUGAUCUGGCCUUACCUCACUGCCGGUGCCGUUCGGAUCUUUUCUUUUCGUCGGUCGGUGGCAAUAAGAUCAAACCAAAAGUCUUCUCUCUCUCUUCUUCGUUACCUUACCGUCGGCCAGAUCUCACUAUCCCCUAAAUAUACCCAAAUCAAAAGUGCAACCCAAAUCACCCUCCGCUUUCCUCUUUUUUUUUUUUAUAUCUUAUGUAUUUUUUGUUUUUUUGUUGUUGAUUGUGGUUAGGUAGUUGGCUGCUAGAUCUUAGGAUUUCGGAUUUGAUUUGGGGUUUUUUUUUUGUUGCUAUUUGAAAAAUAAAAAAUUUCUAGUUGGAUUUAGACUUUUUUUUUGAAACGUUUUCUCUCUCAUUUUUUUUUGGUUUGAAACUCUCUUUUUGUUUUUGAAUCUCAGUUUUCUUGCCCCUCAAAAUGCUCUUUCCGGAUCGGUUUGAAACCCCCCCUUUUAAGAACUGGAUUGUCUAAAAAUUUGGACAAUCCAAAGGUGAAAUCAUGCUCUUCUGAGCAUGAUUUCACUAGGCUCUGGCAAACAGGAAGGAUUGGUAGCCAGAGGUGACCACUCUUCCCCAAAUUCGGCUACCUUUCAAGGGUAUUAAUGCCCUGUAAUGAUGAACUGGAGGAGGGGCUGAGCACACGCUCAGUCCCUUCCUGUUCAUUCAUCAUCAUUUUUUUAUUUUUUUAUUAUUUUUAUCUAUUUUUUAUUAAUUUUUUUAAUUUUUUUAAUUUUUUUAUUUUUGAGCUUUUUUUUCUUUUUUUUUAUUCUUUUGAAGUAGGUGUUUACAGUUGUCCCUCUUUGUACAUUCUUGAGAAUCAAGAAUAGUGCAAAGACAUAGACACCGUAUUCAAUUCAUCUUGGGGCAAGUUUGAUUCUAGCAAUUUGAUCUAGACUUGACCUAUCUCAAAACAAGUUUGAUUAAAAACAUGAAGUAUCUAGGCUUGACCUGGGUUCGUAAAAGAAUGAGAUUUCUAAGUUUGACUUAAGCACAACCCGUCUCAAAAUAUGUUCAAUUAAGAAAAAACAAAAAUUUCUAUAUUUGAUCUAGACUCGACCUAUCUCCAAACAGGUUCGACUUAAAAAUUGAAAUUCCUAGACUUGAUCUAGGCUCGACCUAUCUCACAACAGGUUCGACUUAAAGAAUUGAAAUUCCUAGACUUGACUUAGGCUCGACCUAUCUCACAAAACAGGUUCAAUUUUAAAAAAUGAAAUUCCUAAACUUAAUAUAAGCUCGACUUAUUUCACAACAGGUUCGAUUUAAAAAUUAAAAUUCCUAGACUUUAUCUAGGAUCAACCUAUCUCACAACAGGUUUAAUUUAAAAUUGAAAUUCCUAAACUUAAUCUAGGCUUGACCUAUCUCACAACAGGUUCGAUUUAAACAAAAUUGAAAUUCCUAAACUUAAUUUAGGCUCGACCUAUCUCAAAACAAAACAGGCUCGAUUUUAAAAAAAAAAUUAAAAUUCUUAGACUUGACUUAGGCUCGACCCAUCUCACAAAUAGGUUUGAUUUAAAAAUUAAAAUUCCUAGACUUGAUCUAGGCUCGACCUAUCUCACAACAGGUUCGAUUUAAAAAUUGAAAUUCCUAGACUUAAUCUAGGUUUGACCUAUCUCACAACAGGUUCGAUUUAAACAAAAUUGAAAUUCCUAAACUUAAUUUAGGUUAGACCUAUAUCAAAACAGGUUCGACUUAAUUCAUAAAUGCCAACUUAAUUGGAUUAACUUCACAAUGAAAAACUCAAAUCUUUUUAUCAAAGUUCUACAACCUCAACAUUUUAGGUCAGGUGGAUUCCUACUUUCAAAGCUUGGGACAUGAAUUAAUUUGGAUUAUUGUUUUCAAAAUGACCGUGUGUAUGGCUAGGCAUGUAUGCAUGAUUGAAAUGAUGAAAUGUUUUCAUGUUUAUGAUUCAUUAAGGUUCCAAGACCUUUGUUUCAUCUAAUUUUUCACUGCAGCUUUCAAUGACUUUCGUCUUGUGCCUUACUUCAUUGGCUGACAUUCUUGAUUUUCCUUAGGCGUGCCCCCUUCUUUUUGACAUUUGACUCUCUUUUUUUUUGCUCAAGUUUAAAGCUCUGCCAUUCCUUUUUCUCAUCAUCAAGUCUUUUGUUGAACAAUGAACGUAAUUUUUUUGCUUAAUUAGUUUAUUUCUUUCACCAGUCAUCAUUCAUUUCUAUGACAAUCAUUAUGUGAAAUCAUGGGAUGGUAAAGAAUAAAAGGGUUCAAAUAAAAAGGCGAAGGAGAAUUUCAUAUAUGACAAAUCAAAUAAUAUAAAGCAAAGAGAAUUUAUAGAGCAAACAUUAGAUCUUAAGUAAUGAACACUCAGACCAUUCUGAGCAAAUAAUCUGAUGUUCGACUUCAAGAAUUGUCCUUAAUUGAUGCUUUGAGCAAAUCUGUAGGUUACAAACUCCCUCACUUCCCCUGUUUUGUGAAAUUGUGGAGCUCCAUUCAUAGUGUACUUCUACCUCGAUCUUGUGUUCCAUUCGGGCUGACAUCUUUAAGUUUCAUUCUAACUUUCUGCUUUUCGACCUCAAGCUGCCUUUUUCGGGUUUUCAGCAUGAGCCUCCUCCUUUAGGUACGAGUUGCCCUUUUCGGGUUUUCAACCAUGGACCCCCUCCGUUUUUUUUUUUUUAAGUAUAGUACUUUUUCAUCGCAUCUGCGUUUAUCGAGUUAGGAAAAUCCUCCCCAUCCAUGUUAGCCAAAAUCAAAGCUUCUCUUGAAAAAGCCUUCUUUACCACAUAUGGUCCUUCCCAAUUUGGCAUUCACUUUUCCCGAAAAUCCAUCUGAUUAGGGAGUAUUCUCUUGAGAACUAGCUCUCCUUCUCGCAACUGCCUUGGACGAACUUUUUUCUCGUAUGCUUGCAUCAUCCUUCGUUGGUACAUCUGGCCGUGACAAAGGGCUGCGAGCCUUUUCUCUUCAAUUAAAUUUAAUUGCUCGUAGCGGGAGUGGACCCACUCAGCAUCUUUUAAUUUUGUUUCCAUCAACACCCUCAAUGAUGGGAUUUCUACUUCAACAGGUAGAACUGCUUCUGUACCAUAUACUAAUGAGUACGGAGUUGCCCCGGUGGAGGUACGCACUGAAGUUCGAUAUGCAUGUAAGGCAAAAGGAAGUUUCUCAUGCCAGUCUUUAUAAACUUCAGUCAUCUUUUCAACAAUCUUUUUGAUAUUUUUGUUGGUUGCCUCUACCACUCCGUUCAUCUUCGGACGGUAAGUUGUUGAGUUAUAAUGCUUGAUCUUGAAUUUAGCGCAAACCUCCUUCACCAUCGCACCAUUCAAAUUGCUUGCAUUAUCGGUAAUGAUAUUUUUCGGCAGCUCAUACCGGCAUAUGAUCUCCCUUUAGAUGAAUCUGCACACCACCUUUUGUGUCACAUUGGCAUAGUAAGCUGCUUCUACCUAUUUCAUGAAAUAAUCAAUGGCCACUAAUAUGAAUCGAUGUCCAUUAGAAGCUUUUGGCGUAAUAAGCCCAAUCACAUCCAUUCCCCACAUUGAAAAUAGCCAAGGUGUUGUGAAAACAUGCAAUGGGGCUGGUGGAGCAUGGAUUCUAUCUGCAUAAACUUGACACUUGUGGCAUUUUCGAGCAAAGUUUAUGCAGUCUGAUUCCAACGUCAACCAAUAAUAACCAACUCUCAUAAUUUGUCUAGCCAAUAUAUGUCCAUUAGCAUGAGCUCCAUAAGUUCCUUCGUGAACUUCUUUCAUUAUUUUGUUGGCUUCCGUAACAUCCACACAUCUCAAAAGUACUUGAUCUCGACUUCUUUUGUAGAGCACUUCUCCGCUAAAGAAGAAACCCAUUACUAAUUUUCCCAGAGUUCGCUUGUCAUUGUCCGUGACAUUCUCAGGAUAUACCUGGUGCUUGAUGUAUUGCAUGAUAUCAUGAUACCACGGCUUACCGUCAACCUCUUCCUUAACAUUCAAACAGUGUACGGAGACUUCACGGACUUCUAAAUCAAAAGGGCGUACAUCAGUCGCUUUUUUUAUUUUGAACAUUGCUGCGAGAGUGGCCAAAGCAUCAGCAAGCUAAUUUUCUUCUCGAGGCAAAUGGUCGAAGCUGAUUUUCUUGAACUGUUUGCUUAGUUUUGUAACCAACUUUUUAUAUGAAACUAGUUUAGAAUCUCUAGUUUCCCAUUCGCCUUUCAUUUGACAUAUCACCAAAGUCGAAUCUCCGUAAACCUCUAUCGCGCCGACCUUCAUCUCGAUUGCUGCUUGUAAUCCCAUUACCAACGCCUCAUAUUCCACUAUAUUAUUAGUACAAUUGAUAUUCAAUCUCGCCGUAGCUGGAUAGUACUUUUCAUUUGGAGAAAUCAACACUGCCCCAAUUCUGUGCCCCAAAGCAUUGGAUGUUAUAUCAAAAUACAUCUUCCAUGGAUUAAGUUCAUUGGGACUGUCUUUUUCUAUUUGCAAGACGGCCAUCAAAUCUUUAUCUGGAAAAUCGAAUCUUACAGGUUCAUAAUCCUCAUUAGUUUGAUCUGCGAGGAAAUCAGCAAUGACGCUCCCUUUGAUUGAUUUUUGGGAUACGUACACAAUAUCAUACUCAGACAAUAGCACUUGCCAUCGAGCUAUUCUCCCAAACAGAAAGGAUUUUUCAAAAAUAUACUUGAUGGGAUCUAAUUUUGCCACCAACCAUGUUGUGUGAUACAACAUAUAUUGUCGAAGCCUUUAGGAGGUCCAUGCUAGCGCACAACACAUCUUUUCGAGCACAAAGUAUUUGGACUCAUACUCCGUAAAUUUCUUGCUUAAAUAAUAUAUGGCCUGUUCUUUCUUCCCAGUUUCAUCAUGUUGUCUUAGUACACAUCCCAUAGAAUUCUUGUUCACAGUCAAAUAUAAAAUCAGAGGUUUUUCAACAGUCGAUGGCACUAACAUCGAUGGAUUUGUGAGAUAUUCUUUGAUUUUAUCAAAGGCUAUUUGACAUUCUUCAUUCCACUCUCUUGGGUCUCAUUUUCGAAGUAGCUUGAAGAUUAGAUCACAUUUACAAGUGAGCUGGGAUAUAAAUCGAGCAAUGUAAUUCAACUUCCCUAAAAAUCCUCUCACUUCUUUUUACGUUUUAGGAGGUGGUAGCUCUUGAAUAGCUCGUAUCUUAUCCGGGUCCACUUUAAUUCCCUUUUCACUUACUAUGAACCCCAAUAAUUUUCCAGAAGUAACACCGAAAGUACAUUUUGCAAGAUUCAACUUGAGCUGAAACUUUCAUAAUCUCUCGAACAGCUUUUUGAGAUUGACAGUAUGAUCUCUUUCUGUGUGAGAUUUUGCAAUCAUGCCAUCCACAUAUACCUCUAUUUCUUUAUGCAUCAUAUCGUGAAACAAAGCUACCAUUGUCCUAUGGUAGGUGGCAUAUGCAUUCUUCAAUCCAAAUGGCAUUACUUUGUAACAAAACGUUCCCCACAUGGUUACGAAUGUUGUUUUUUCCAUAUCUUUGGGUGCCAUGUUGAUCUGAUUGUAAACAGAAAAAUCAUCCAUAAAUGAGAAUAAAGCAUGCUUUGCUGUGUUGUCCAUAAGAGUAUCAAUAUGUGGCAAAGGGAAGCUAUCCUUCAAACUCGCUCUGUUCAAAUCCUUGUAAUCGACGCACAUUCAAACUUUUCCAUCCUUCUUAGGAACUGAAACUAUAUUAGCCACUCAUUCAGGAUACUUAGCCACCUCUAAGAAUCCAGCAUCAAAUUGCUUCUUUACUUCUUCUUUAAUCUUUAGCAACAUUUCUGGCUUCAUCAUUCUCAACUUCUAUUUAAUAGGCUUGUAAUCCAGUCUUAAAGGUAACUUGUGGACAACAAUGUCAGUAUUAAGACUUGGCAUGUCCUGAUAUGACCAAGCAAACACAUCCACAUAUUCACGAAGCAGUUCUUCUAGCUUCUGUCGUUCAUUAGAUGACAGCGAGGUGCCAAUCUUAACCUCUUUCUUUUAUUUCCCGUUUCCAAGAUUAAUCAUUUCUGUGAGUUCUUGAUAAGGUAAGAUCUCCCUUUCCUCCUAUUCCAACAUUCUCGAUUAAUCAAGGGGUAAGCCAUAGUCAUCCACCUCCUCUUCACUUUUCAAUUCAUCAAUGUUUGAAACUGUCUCGAAAUUGAAAUUCAAAUUGUUCUCCAGAUUGUCUUUGUGUUCAUUAUUUAAAGAUCUGCAAAUAGGUAAAAUUGAACAUGUGUAUGGGCAAGUAUUUAUUGGCUAAAAGAAUAGAUGAAAGGAAAUAUGCAAAAAGGUUGAUGAAUUAUGAAACACAUUAUGCAUUGUUAUUUAUUUAAAUGAUGAAGGUAACAGAAAGCCCUACUUAAAUAAAAAAUUACUCUUAACACCCUUAGGCAUAGGCAUUUAGAGAGAAUUAUUCAUUACAUUUCCAAAGGCUUAAAGAUGAUGGGCAAUUCCGUAGCUGUCCAAUUGGUUAACUCCUCUCCUAGUAGUACUUGAUACACCACAGGGACCUUCUCGUUAGAUUCUUCGUCUUUGAUCAUAUGGACUGACAACUCAUCAAACAUCUGCAGAACCUGAUUGACCUUUGUUGGUGCUUCGGGAUGAAUGAAACCUGCAGAGCGAAAAGUCUCAUAUAAGUACGGAAUUGCCUGUUUCCCAAAUUCUUCUUUCUUUCCCUCAAGCUGAGCCAUCCUUUUAAUCUUCUUUUGAGCUGCCAAUUUCCUUAUCUCUUCUUUGGUAGGUUUGUAUCCCAAACCAAACCUUUCUUCAUUCUUUAUUGGAGUCAAAGGACGGUUAAUUCCUUGUAAAUUCUUGCCUAGCCCCAAACCUACACGACAUCCUUUUCCCACUGUCUGCUUUACCCCCAUUUCAGUUGCUACUAACAAACAAGGAGUUGGUAUCAUUUUUCCUUUCCCCACAUAAGUAGCAUUAACAAAUUCAAAAGAUCUAAAUGAGCACUCUAGGACUUCUUUUGUUGCCUCUACAUAGGGGGUAGAUGAAGGUUGAAUGGCCAGUAUGUCUUCCUCCGUAAAUACACUUAUCAGUUAGCCUUCAACUAUAAAUUUAACCUUUUGAUGAAGGGAAGAGGGUAUGGCUCCCGCCAUAUGAAUCCAUGGACGCCCUAGUAAGCAAUUGUAGGAUGGGGCGAUGUCCAUGACUUGAAAUUGGACCUAAAAAAUGUAAGGGCCAAUUUUUAUCGGCAGUUCAAUGUAUCCUACCACAUCUCUUAUGAUUCCGCCAAAAGCCCUUACAACCAUGUGGCUGGUUCUCAUAUAGGACAGGUCUACAGGUAACUUGGUUAAGGUAGAGCGAGGCAUGACAUUUAAAGCUGAGCCAUUAUCGAUCAAGACCCUAGGUACGACGUGGUCCUUGCAUUGGAUGGUAAUGUGCAGAGCUUUAUUACUUCCUCGACCACCCGAUGGGAUUUCCUCAUCAUUAAAGGCCAUGAAGUUCCCCACUGUAAUAUUUCCCACAAUAUGAUCCAACUUUUCCACCGAUAUAUCAUGAGCCAUGUAAGCUUGAUUUAGGACCUUAAGUAGCGCAUUCCUGUGUGCUUCUGAAUUCAGAAGCAAAGAUAAUAGCGAGAUACGAGCAGACAUUCUCGUUAAUUGUUCCACCACACUAUACUCACUGUGGUUUAAUAAAUUUGAGAAAUUCACCUGCUUUUUUUUUCGUAACAUGCCUUUUAAUCUCGUUGUUCAGAGCAAUUGGAGAUUCGGUGGUUUAGUCCUUGAGAAAGGUACUUGCUUCUUUCAAAUCUUUUCCUUGUUUGGAUUUUCCUUUUUCAAUCCUUUCUGCUAUUUCAGGAGAAUAACAUCGUCCACUUCGCGUUAUUCCUCCCACACUAGUCAAAUCUAUAGAAGAUACUUGCGAAGUAAGGGGGGCCAUACCUAAGAUAUUACAUUCGUAAUUCUAGGGAACAACCUUCUCACUCUUGUACUGGAACGGGCUAGAAAUUUCAAUAGUGAUGCCAUUUUCGACAACAGUAGAGGAUGUAUCAUUCGUCGGACUCCUAUUUUUUUCAUAAAAGAUGGUCAGAGGUUUAGGUUUAUUCACCCCAGAUGAACUUGAUGCUACUUCAACUAGGGUAUCUUCAUUUAUGGUUCUGACUAAAUCCUCUUCGCCUUCUUCAUAAAAUUCAAUUACCGACAAAUCCAUCAAUUCUUGCAGCUUACAACGAAAGCUAUCAUAAUUUCGAAUGAAAUGUCCAACAAUCCCCAUAUGAAAUUUGCAAGAAUGGGUGAGAUCAUACCCUACUUUUUUUAUGUCUAUCGAUUCUGGAGUGAUGGCUUUUAUUUUGGACAACGCCUUAAACACUCUAUCCAUCGACGUUUGAAUCUUGUCGACAUUCUUUUUCACCCUUCGAAUCAUCCUUUCAUGUAUUGCAUUCACUGUCGGACUUUCAUGGUUAGGCAAGGGAUUCCCAUCAACAUUUGAAUUAUCUUUUUUAGCAAAAUUUAAAAGUCCUGUCUUAAUGAGCGAUUGGACCUUAUGUUUUAAUGCAGUGCAAUUCUUCAUGGAGUGUCCUUCAAUUCCAAAAUGGUAAUCACAAUGCGCAUUCGGAUCAUACCAUUUUGGAAAAAGAGGUCGGAGUGGUUCCAAAGGGGUUCGAGCAAUGAGUCGAUUUUCUAUGAGUUGUGGUAACAAUGUAGUGUAAGGAAUUGGGAUAGGAUCAAACUUAGGUUUUUUUUGGGUAGUUUUAGGUCCUCUUUGACCAUUGCCAAAAUUAUUGGUUGAAGCUACCGGUCUUGGUGGUGGAGCUUGUGGGAGAACAUUGGUCUGAAACAUUGGUUGUGAGGCAGGUUGGUACACAUAUGGGUUUUGUGCGAUGUUGCCUAUGUUCGGAUAAAAGGGUUGGUAUGGGGGGUACGGGUAAUAUGGGUUAAAGUUGUGGGUCUGUUGUCUGUCAUGGGCCACUACUUGUACAUCUCUUUCUUUUCUCUUGAGCAAACUCCAUUUCUUUGAGCCAGCAACCUCCUACCCUUCAAUUUUUCCACUUUUGAUAGCUCAUUCUAUUAUUUCUCCAUAUAAGACCAAAUUCGUAAAGUUUUUCGUGGCGUUACCGAUCAAGCGUUCGUAAAAUAGAGCUCGAAGUGUGUUUAUGAACAACACAGUCAUUUCUUUAUCAGUGAGAGGUGGCUGAACUUGCGCUGUUGUAUCCCUCCACCUUUGGGCAUAUUCCUUGAAGCUUUCACUUUGCUUCUUUUUCAUAGUCUGCAAUGACAACCGAUCAGGGGCUAAUUCAGCCACAUGUUUGUAUUGGGCUAUGAAGGCUCUUGCUAGAUCUUUCUAAGUCUUAAUAUGAUUUCGAUCUAGCUGUACGUACCACCGAGCAGCUGACCCAGUCAAGCUAUCUUGAAAAAAAUGGAUUAAUAGCUUGUCAUCAUGGGAUUGUGCAGCCAUCUUUCGAUAAUACAUAGUAAUAUGUGUCAUGAGACACUUUGUUCCGUCAUAUUUUUCAAAUUCUGAAACUUUGAACUUGGCCGAGAUCAAUACAUCAGGCACUAAGCAUAGUUCGGUUGCAUCCAUGGUAUCGAACCUAUCAACUCCUUCGAUAGCACGAAAAUGUUCUUUUAGUAAAUCGUACUUUUUCAUAUCUUUUUCAUUUUUUCCUGUUUGUGAUGAGUCCUUUCUUAGUUUCUCUUACUCUUUUGGAUCAUCUAAAUCUGGGACGUGUAUUGGUUCAGUAGAAUUUAUCCCAGAAUACAGCUUAAAUUGCCCAUGAGUCGAUUGAUGGCCCAUUGAAGGUGGUGUAUUGUAACAAACGGAUGGCAUCACUUAAGGGUGGACCCUUUGAGAGGUUUGGGCAUGUGAUGGAGUGAACUUUGGGGGAUAAGGUGGAUCAUCCCUUUGGUUUUCAAUGUCUUGAGCAGGUGGGUUUUCUGACGGAGCUGACUCUUCCGUAACUCUUUUUCCUUUACUUAAGCUUGUCAUCAAUUCCAUCAUCUUUGCUAACUGUUCUCUCAUUUCUUCUUGAGCUCUUUCCAUUCUAUCCAUUCGCUCUCUUUGUUCUUCUUCCAUGAUCCUUGCUCGUCGACGCAUAUUAUAGACACGUUGGUUACUUGGCUUAAGUGGUUGAGCUAUUUUUGGAACCUUAUUGUAAUCAUAAACAUGAAUUAGAUGCAUAUUCGAUGCAUGAAUGAAAUGAAGAACUGAACCCAUUAUCUUUAUUUUUAGGUGAAAAUACUUAUUGUCAUGAAAUGAUGAUUUAUGCAUGUAUGAAUGAUUAUGUACUAAAAGUAUUCGUCACAUGACACCCAACAACAAAGUCAUCCAUUGCAUAAGAUAUUGUCUUUGAUUACAACUCAGGAGUCAUCUAGAAAUAUUCACCAAUUUUAUUAUAAUGGCUAUACACCUCAUCUAAAUACUUAAUCAACUGUUGCUCUUGUUUUCCAACUAGAAAGACCUGGCUCCUUAAUAUGUCCUUCUUCUAAGCCAUGUUUCUUGCCUUGUAAGCCACCUCCCUCAUUUGCCAAACCAAGUAAUCCAUCUGGUCGUGUUUCUCUAUAUAAGCUUAUUUGUAGGAUUCACCCCACUCUUGAAUUCUGGUGCUCUGUUGCUUGAGGCGUUCAUAUUCUUGUUGAUAAGUCGUCAUGACCCCUUCGAGCUCUUCAUACUCCUAUCUUAGUAAUUGGAUAGACUCUUAUUGGAAUCGCACUUGAUUUCUUAGUCCAUCAUUAUACGCUUGAAGUUCAUUGUCUCUAUUUUCUCUCACUUGUAUUUCCCUUUGAAGUUCACUGGUUAUGGCAGAAAACUUAUUAUUCAAACUCUUAUACUUCCCUUCUCAAUUACUAUCUAUUUUUCGGACCUUAUUUCUUUGUUCAAUUACUUCUUUAUUCAUCUUCUCACACUCUUUUUGGAGGUCUUCAUACCGUUGCUUCCAACUGGCAUUUUUAGCUUCGAACUUUUUUCGAGCCAACUCACUCUCGAGCAAAGCAUUUCGUGAUUCCGGAUCAACUGGGCCAUGCAGUGCAUCUUCCUUCGGAUAUACCACAUCCUUAACUUGUUGGUCGUGCCAUAUCUGAUAUCUGGUAGUUACUUCAUCAGUGUAUCUCCCUUGGUCGACUCGGCUGGUUUGCUUUUAAGCUCGCGCAAUCUUCUCAAUCUUUUUCAGAAAACCCGGCUCUCCAUAAGCAAACUCCAAAGUAUUAAAUCGGUGUGUCAUCGGCACAAACUGCCCUGACCCAAAUUGUCUUCUCACCAUGAUUAGGGCGUAGCUGAUUACUCCCCAUGGCCCCAUUAACGGCACCCAAGGUUCAUUUUCGCAUUUGUACAAGACUGGGCGAUGAGGCAUCCACGGAGCUCUCCACGUUACUUCCACACUUAUGAGUUUUUGAAGCCCUAAGAUCCAUUGUUCCUUAGUCUUAUUUUUGAGCCAUUCACUCUCACAAAAUUCUCUGAUAGGGGCACUUUGCGGAUGAAAGAGCUUUCUAAACUUAUCGACCUUGCAUUCAAAGUGGCUUACUAUCUAGAUGGAAAGAAGCUGUGCACAUCCCAUAAAUCGUCCUUCCCCCUUUCUUCGACAAUAAUUCAGUGAUAUGAGAGUUUUUACUAGAAUAAAAGGUAAAGGGUUGGCCUUGUUGAUGACUUGCUCGAAGAAAUCUAUAAUUUUGACCUCUAUAUGUCCCAAGACUUUGGGAAAGAUCACUAGCCCAUAAAUUCCCAAGGCCAUCAUAAGCUGUCUUUACUCGGUGUCCCGAUGCUUCAUGAUAUAACUACGUAGAAAACUCCAUGAGAUACAUUCAUUGUCCCCCUUUUUCCUUAGGUUUUGGUCAACUUCCGCCGGGAUAAUACCCAUCAUCUUGGCUAACUUUCGCCUGUGUCCGAUCUUUUGUCCUCUCCAAUAUAUCUUGUUCGGAUUAUCAAGAUCGAUUUGUAGGAAAGUCGAGUACUCUUCGAUUGUGGGGACCAUAUCCACUUCAUUAAACACGAAGCACCUGUACGACGAUCCCAAAAUUGCACAAUGGCCUUCAACAACUGUUCAUCAAUUGGACUUUAAGUAGCCGGGCUAUGUGGCUAUAUUUCUUAUCGAAACUUGCUCAAGUGGUGGCCCUCCAUCUAUCCCAUAUGUCAAGCAAAUCGGUGAAGUCAUUCUGUUUAAAAUCAAUGUGGACCCUAUCAGGUAGUGAUGAGAAGUGAUCUUUUGACAAGCAAUCUCCCUCACUUUGUUGGGCAUUCGCCAUGUGCUGAGUCACUUCGUAUAUUCCAUCGUAACUUGAGGAUGGCCAUGUUGACUCCAUGUAUGCAAUUGGAUCUACUCUGUCAAUGGUUGUCAGGUGACAAAUACUUUUCCUAUAUGCAAAAUUAUGAUGCAAAUAUGCAUAUGACAAAAAGCUUAAGUUAGUACCGUAAACAAGAAUUCCAAAAGAUGAAUAAUUAAUAACAUGAUACCUUUAUUACUUCGUGGAGAAGAAUUUAGGAUAAGGGGAUUAUGAAAAUUCUUUCAUGUGUACCUAGUCAAAAGGUAUAUUAUCACGGGUGAAGCUCUACCUAAGUAAAGGCAACUCUCGGUAUUUUACAUGCUGAGUUUGGGUUGAAAAUGGAGCUAAAGGUUCUCAAAUCGCUCCUUACUGUCGUCCACACGGACUAGUAAGGUAUCCCGGUUCUCACCCAUUACAAGCUUCAAACGGAUUAGGUUCGAUCUUAGUGGGAGUCUUCACUAGCCCAUGCGAAGGUUAUCACCUCACAAAAGCAUAGCUACUUAACUCCCUUCUAAUUAAAGACAAAGCUCGGGUGGAAGGCUUAUGCAUGAAUGCAAGAUGUGUAGUGUGUGAGAAAGAAUAUACUGACCUUGGACCAAUAAUUUCACACUCCCCUUAUCCUAAAUUUCCCGCAAUUAUUAAAAACAAUGAAGUAAUAAUAGCAAAAUAAAUGAAUGCAUUAAACAAAAAUAUGCAAAAUUGAUGCUAGGGAAGACAACAAAUUAUUUAAGGCUUAAGAUAACUUAUGAUUAAUUAAUAGUUUGACUCUCGAUGUCCCUAAUGGAGUCGCCAUCUGUCGUAACGUGUGGGUUCGGGAACCCAACCGCUAGACGUCGACGAAAAUAAAGUGGUUUAGGAGUCGCCACCAAUCGUCUUGUAUCUAGGUGCGAUUGGACACCUAUUAACCCGAUUCUAAUCAACAAAGUCCUAAAUUAAGUUUAGAACGAGAACUGGUCCACAUUUUCCAGAGAAAGGUUCGAGAGUGCGGUUACGCACGGAGAAGGGUUAGCACCUCUGUGACGCUCGUUCCACGAACGGUACCAUUUAAUCUUAAGUUAUCCUAUUGUACCUUAAUCCUUGCUUAUUAGUUAAUUUUUUUAUUAUGUUAGUUGAUUGAGUCUUUUAUUUGGUUUCACGGAUGCACAUGAUGCAAUCGUAAAAUGAUGUUAUGAUUUAUUCAAUUUUAAAUGAUGGGGUCGACAAUCUUUUAUUGAAAAAAUCAUUCAAAGACCAUCCCAACGCUUUGGUGAAGUUUCGAAAUUUUCCUCACCUAGAGAUAUCCCUGGAAGAACUCGUCUCUACAAGCUCAUCAAGGAAAUCCCAUCAUCGGAACUCCCGCACCAUUUGCAAGAUAAAUGUGGCAUGCUAUGACAGGAUAAAAUGAUGAUGUCUACAUGCACGCGUUUAUUGACUUAGGUGGUUCAUAAUUCAUCCAAUUAUGUGUUUAAUAAUUUAUCACCUUGUUUAUAUGUUUAUUACUAUUUGUUAUUUUUUUAUGGAUUAUUUAUUUAUUUAUAUAUAUAUAUAUUGUUUUCUAUUUAAAUCCAUAUCCUUUAAUUAACGUUAUUGAUUAAUAUUUUACUUGAUUAUAUAGCUUAUAAAUAAUUAAUUAAUUUUUAAACGAUUAAAUUACCUUUAUUUAGUAAUAUUUAUUUAAGCUAAUUAACUAAUUAUAUUAAUUUAAAUUCACAUGCAACAUUAUAUAAAUUUUCUUUUAUAUAUAUUAUUUUGACAACAAUUAUUUGAUUUAACGGGUAUUGAAGUUUAGAGUUCGGAUUUAUCCCGACGCUUCGGUGAAAAUCAAUCUCAAACUUCACUCCCAAAAAAAUCUACUUAAAAGAGGCAACUAUUUGCCCUUUUUAGGUAGUAGUAUUCAAAUAACAUUUCCAUUAUAUUAAUUUUUUUUUUUUAUGUUUGUAUCAUGAGUUAUUUAUUUUUUUUUUUUUGAUUAAAAUAAACAUUCAUAUUAUAUAUAUAAUUAUAUAUAAAUAACCUUUCCUAAUAUGGUUUAAAUUAUAACAAAAAAAAUGUAUUUUAUUUAACAAAAUGGGUUAGACCCAAAAGCAAUUGAAACAAGCCCAUAUCAAAGAGAAGGAUUAUACCUUUUUAGGGUCAGUUUAGUCCAGCUCAAUGGCCCACAGAAGCCGAAAUCUGCUACACUCGAUCUGCUUCCUGAGGCCCACAAGGCAGAAUUCGAAACGCGUCGUUUGGUACCUGAGACACUACUCAAUAUGGCGUCGUUUAGCCUUGAACCUUUCAGUUCCCCGCUCCCUGAAAUGGUGCUAUUUGGUUCUCUUACACCUGGGUAUAAAAACCCCUUUUUUGGCCUUUUCUAUUAUUUUCACCAUCCCCUUUCUCUCUCUAGCCCAAAUGCUCUCCCUUCUCUGUAGCUUCAAGCCACGGCCCCCCCUUUGACCGCUGGCCUUCACUCUCCCUUAUGUCGGUGGCUUGCCUUUAACCGGUGGCCUAGGUGUUCUUCCCCUCUCUACCGGCGUUGAUCUAGCCUUACUCCGCCGUCGGUGCCGUUCGGAUCUUUUCUUUUCGCAGGUCGGUGGCAGUAAGAUCAAACCAAAAGUCUUCUCUCUCUCUCCUUCGUUACCUUGCCGUCGGCCAGAUCUCACUAUCCCCUAAAAUACCCAAAUCAAAAAUGCAACCCAAAUCACCCUCCGCCUUUCCUCUUUUUUUUUUUAUAUCUUAUGUAUUUUUUGUUUUUUUGUUAUUGAUUGUGGUUAGGUAGUUGGCUGCUAGAUCUUAGGAUUUCGGAUUUGAUUUGGGGUUUUUUUUUUGUUGUUGUUGCUAUUUGAAAAAUAAAAAAUUUCUAGUUGGAUAUAGACUUUUUUUUUUUGAAACGUUUUCUCUCUGAUUUUUUUUUGGUUUGAAACUCUUUUUUUUUUUUAAUCUCGGUUUUCUUGCCCCUCAAAAUCCUCCCCCUGAUCGGUUUGAAACCCCCCUUUUUAAGAAUGGAUUGUCCAAAAAUUUGGACAAUCUAGAGGUGAAAACAUGCUCUUCUGAGCAUCAUUUCACAAGGCUCUGACAAACAGGAAGGGUUGGUAGCUGGAGAUGACCACUCCUCCCCAAAUCCGGCUACCUUUCAGGGGCAUUAAUGCCCUGUAAUGAUAAACUAGAGGAGGGGUUGAGCACACGCUCAGUCCCUUUCUGUUCAUUCAUCAUCAUUUUUUUAUUUUUUUAUUAUUUUUAUCUAUAUUUAUUAAUUUUUUUAAAUUUUUGAGCUUUUUUUCUUUUUUCUUUUUAUUCUUUGGAAGUAGGUGUCUACAAUUACAAUCUCCUACUAAGAUAUAUAUCUAAAUUACAUUAUCUUUUUAAUAAAUCUUACAUUAUUAUUUAAAAAAUAUUCACAUAUAGAUGAAUCUUAAAAUAUCUAAAAUGUGGAUAAUAUAUCUAUCAUUUAUCAAAUUUACUUUAAUUUGAAUUGAUUUAAUGUAGUGUGAUAUGUCUACAUUUCACACCAAUUUGAUAUUUUAUUUUACUUGGAAAUAUGGAUAUUUUUGUUUAAAAUAGUCAAUUAUACUUUUGUUUGAAGUAUAGAAGAGGAGAAUUUUUUUUUUUACGUAGAGUAUUAGCUAGAGUAGAAGAAUUUGCUAGCCUAGAAUCCUAGAUACGCUCGGGCUAGGAACGAUGUACAGAAAAUCCAUAAUUCUAGUAUUUUACUCAAUUAUGAGCUUAAUAUUUAAAAUUAAUGGAGUUUUUAUUUUAAAAAAAGUAUAAGAAAAAGAACAAUAAUGUCAAUUAAAAAAUUUAAUUUAUCAAAUAAAUGAAUAUUAGAAAAACAGAAAAAAAACCAAAAUAUUUCAUAAAUGAUUGCAGAAGAAAACAAAAAUAUUUAAUAAUUUAUUUUGCAAUAUCAUUUCAAAUAAUUUAGCAUUGUUCUUUCCUUACAUCCACACUUGUGUCAAUGAUUCAUCCUUUGUAAUGCUUUAAAAUUAAAUAGUUCUAAUCAAAAACAGUCUCUUACCUACGGCUCCCAUCUGUAUUAGAAAUGUUCUAGAUGCUCAGAGCACAUUCCUUUGCAUUAGGAAAAGAAGUAGUGAUUAUUAUAAUUUGCCUUUUUAGUUGCAUCGGAAAUGUCGUAUAUGCGAAGAGAUAAGAUGAAUAUCCUCUCAGCAAUGUUAUUAUCUGUAGGCUGAAUCGAAAGCAUGACAAUAUAAGAUACACUAUCAUAUUUGUCAGCCUUAAUUUGUAUCUAACCACAUACUGACUUGCUGCUGAUAAUAAAUGGUUUAUCAAAAGCACCAAAUUUGAAGCCUAAACUGAAACGCACCUUACACUAGACAACUUUAUCAAAUAAAAGAUUCUCAAUUAAACAGUAAAAGUUAAUUAUGGAGAGUCGAUUAAUUAAUCAUCACAUAUUAUUUGUCUGAAAUUUUUGGUUACUUACAUUUUAAUUUGCCUUUUUACAUUUAUUAUUUUGCAUGCUUAUUGCAGCGGGCACUGGGCAGGCUAAUUAACCAAGAAAAAGAAUGAAGGGAGGCACCAUAUUGUCUAUCGCAAUGUAUAUAGUAUUUCUUUUGGGGACUAAUUAAAUUACUCACUAACUUACCAAUUUUAUGAAAAAGGCUUGUGGGGAUCAGAGGCCUGCCGCCAGCCACCAUCGUCCCUCGCUUGGCCCCUCCUAUCCUAUGUUUAACCCUUUUGAUAGACAUGGAAGGUCUUCAUGGAGGGAGUAGAAUUUACAGUUACACCAAAAAAAUAGUAUCAAGUAUUUUCUAUGUGAGCUGGAAAUAAAGGAGAAUGUGCACUGGGAGAAGGUUCGCUAAAGAUUUGAUAAUUGCUUCAUAUAGCAUGAGAUUGUGAUCAAAGAUGGGAUAUAGUCUUAGCUCUUGAUGAGGUGAUAUAGUCUAAAAAGGAAUAUAUCUUUUAGGUGGUUUAACCCAAUGUAGAUUUAUAAAUUAAAUAAGGCUAAUAAAAAUCUACAGACAAAAUAUUAAUAUUAAUUAAGUUCUUAAUUAAUUUUUUUAUAAUUUUUUAAAGAAUCUUACUAAAUGUACUUUUGUUUUGAAAAAUUUAAAAUAAGUAUAAUUAUAGAAUAACAGUCAAAACAGAAAACAAUUAGUGAUCAAGACCACAUCACACCAAUGUGACGUAUAUGAAAAAAAAAUUAUAUUUAUUUUAUCAUAAAAUCAAGCCAUAAAACAUACAAACAAUAGAAUCAUCAUGCAUAUCUAAUAAAUAAUUUUUUAAAAAAAGAUUAAAAAUAAUAUGAAAAAUAAGCAAGAAAGAUAUUAUUAAUAAUAAAAGAAAAGAGUAUUCUAUACUUCAAUGAAGUCUUCUCAGCCUAAAGAUAACAAUAGGUUAGGCCAUUCAAUCUGGUGUUCAUCAAUAAUCUACGUCCCACAAGCUCUACCAAACAAAAUUUGAUUUUAUAAAAGAAUUUCUGAUUGCCGAGUUGCUCCUCGGAUGUAAGCUUCUACACAUAUCACAUCUUUAAACACGGGCGGGGAGUAUCGCAUCACUAUGGGCCGUGGUUCUCCAAAAAUUUUAAAUUUUUUAUAUAUUAUAUAUCUUUUAAUGAGUUUUUAAUAUAAUUUAUAUUAAAUAAUUAAUAUAAAUAAAAAAUAAUAAAAUAAUUUCACAAACUCAUUUACCUUUACUCUGAUUUUUAAACUUUUCCCCCAACUCUUUUAAAUUUCUCCACAGCUUUUUUCCUCUCUUUAUUCUUCUCUUUCUCUUCUCUUUCGUUAUUUCAUUGUGAAAUUACAAAAAUAUAAAGUUUUUUUUAUCUUUUUUUAAUUUAUAUUAUUAUUCUUAUUUAUAUUUGUUUAUUUUUUUCAAGUUUAUUAUAUUUGGUCAUAUGUUCUAAGUUUUUAUAAAUUUUUUUCUUUAAAUGUCUACAAAUCAUAAAUCAUAUUUUUCUUUUUUUUUUGUUAUGUAGAUUUUAUAUUCAAUGAUUUGUCUUUAAAAAAUUAAAAAAAUAUUAUAUAAUUUUCAAAUAUAAGUUGUAGCAUUGCAUUAUUGGUUGUUAUUUAAAAUUUCAUCAUAAAAUAAUUUUUUUAUUAAUCUUAAUUAUAUAAGAGAUUUUUUAUAUGUUUUACGUUUUAUAUUUAAUUGAAAAAAAUUAUCUUUGAGUAUUUAUUUUUAAACAAACUUGAUUAUAUAAAAAAAAUUAUUAAUAUUUUAUAUCAUAUUUAAUUAUUUAUAUUUUAUGUGUUAUUCAUCUUCUUUUAUGAUUUCUCAACAAAAAUUAGUUAACUCCAUAUUUUCUUUAGAGAUGUUUAUGAUACGAAUAUUGCUUAUAUAAAAGUGUCUUUUCACUUGAAAAAAUUAGCUGGCAUGUUAUGUUUCAAUUAAUUGAUAAUAAAAAGUAAUAAAAAUUAUUAAUUUAUUAUAUUAUUAAAAGAAUUUGGAUUUACCGCUUUUAAUUAAUAAUUUUAGAGUUGACAUUUGACUAUCAGUGGAUUGAAGUUUUCUGAUCCGAAAGGCAGAUGAGGAACAACAAACUCAUGUGCUUGGUAUCCUACUCCUAUGGUCAUAGCCCAUAGGCUAAUUGAUUCAUUUCUAGGCUUAAUGGGCUCUGUGAUAUGGGUGGGCAGUCUGCUGCAUAAAGCAUGUUACUACAGUCAAGCUUACUACAAAUCAACCAGUUUAAACCGGGCUAAAGGCAACAAUCUCUGUGAGCUGGUUUUAAAAUGUCAAAUAAUUAAUCGUACAGUAUCCCUAAAUCCAAUUAAUUUGCAACUUGAAUGGACUUGGAAUUUAGAUUAAUUUAAACUUAGAACUAUUUAGACGAUCUACGAUAACCUAAGCAAAAUCCACUUAAAAUCUGAAUUAACCUCAUGAACUUCAAAUCUCUAGCAAAAUCAAUCUUAAAAAAUCCGAACAAUUUGCUCAAAUCACACUUAAACUUCAAACAAUUUCUUUUCUGAUCACUUUCAGAACAUUAUGCUUUCCAAUCAUAUGCGUUUCACAUAAUAGCAAACACUUGAUUGCCAACAAAGAAAAUGAGAAGUGGUUAGGAGACUUAAGGGUUAAUGGCUCACAAAAUAUUGUUCAAUGGAAGAUUUGGUCAAUAGAUAGCAUACAUAAUUUAUAUAAAAUUUUUAAUAGAUACAAGCCUUAAUUAAUAGGUUUAUAUUUAAUACAUUGACAAUGUAUAAUUUCUAUACACAAGGCAUAAGAUCAUACCAUCUCAUUAAAAAAUAAAUUCAAAAUUUUAAACAAUUUAAAAAUGAAUAUUAUUAAAUUUUUUUAAAAAAUAAAAAAAGAUAAAUAAUUUUUUUUAUCUCUCUAACUCUCUCUUAUUCAAUCUCUUCCUCUUCUUCCCUCAACAACAAUAGAUUCAAAAUCGUAAUUUUUUUUUGAAAAGUAAAAUUCUAAAUUCUUAAUUUUGAUUCUUCAAAGUAAUAUUUAUUAUGUCUUAUUCUUAAUUUAAUUCUUAAUAUUUAUUUCACUUUUUUAUUUGAAAUUACUUUAAAAAAAUGAUAACAUAAUAAGGUAAAAUCUUUGAUUUGUUCAGCAAUGGCUGAUUUGCCUUGGAGUAAGUAGAAUGAAAUGAAUAAAGCAAUUGGAAAAGGUGGAAAGCAAAACAUCAACUCUAAAGGAAUAUAAAUACAGCAGGUCUCAAUCUGCAUAGCAACGUGCAAUCACAAAAAAUCUAUAGAAGCCAGGCUUUCCUCAAUACCUAGCAAGUCCAUAUAUUCUUGGUUCGUUGGAAAUUAAACGGGACGAAACAAAAAUCUACCAAGUACAACCUCUUUUAGAUCUAUGAACAGAUAAAUCCAAAAAACAACCCUAAACAAAAAUUUGUAAACAAAAAUCUUUUUUUUUUCUUUGCCGCAUGAGUCCCACAACAUUAUCACGUUGAAACUACAAAAUGAUAUCUUUACAGCGUGAGUUUCAAAGGUGUUCGAGAAAAGUCUUUUUGUUCAUCAAAUUAUAGUGAUAAAUAAAUGUUCACAAUAUAUAAAAAAUGGUAGACUAAGAAGAUGAUUGAAAUAAAUAUUAUCUUUAAAAAUUAAAAUUAAGAUUUUAGAGUUUUGAAAUUAUAACAGGAGAAGAAGAACAAGAGAAGAAGAGAUUGAGUGAAAUGGAGUUGAAUAAAAAAAUUAUUUUUAAUUUUUAAAAAAUAAUAAUAUUUAUUUUUAAACCUCUUAAAAUUUUAAAUUUAUUUUUUAGUGAAAUGGCACCAUUUGAUGUUUUAAUAAUGUAUAAAAGUUAUGUACUAUCAAUGCAUUAAAAAUAAAUUUUGAUAUAAUUCUUGUUCAUUGUCAGCAGAAAAAGUUGUCAUGAAAGUCGAGUUUUAUAAUUUUUUUUUCAAAUUUAUAUUAAGAAUUAGCUUCAGGUCAAAAAGGCUCUAUUAAGUCUUCACCUAAUCCUUCAAAAGAAAAAAACAAAAUAAAGUCAUUCCCAAAGGUUCACGUCUCUUUUCACCUCCCCUGCAAGCAAUCUCUUUGCAGUACAAAUAAAGGAUAGGCUUGAUUAAGUCGUCACCUAAUCCUUCAAAAGAAAAAUAUAAAAGGUCAACCCCAAAGGUUCACGUCUCUUUUCACCUCCUAUGCAAGCAAUCUCUUUGCAGUAUAAAUAAAGGAACUCAAUAAACUCAUAUGCACAAAAUUAGCUUUAGAAAAAUGAAGUCUCCCCACCUUUUAGUAUAUCUAUUUCUUUUCGCUGCUCUCUUCUCAUUGUCAUGGGCAACUUCGGCUCAUACUCAUGAGCGUUUUCUUCAUUGUCUUUCCCUUCGUUCCGAGAACUCCUCUUUCAUUUCUAAAAUCAUCUAUACACAACAUAAUUCUUCCUAUUCCUCUAUUUUGGAGUUUUCUAUGCAUAAUCUCAGGUUCUCCACGCCAUCUACCGCCAAACCUCAAGUCAUUAUAACACCAUUUCAUACAUCCCAUAUUCAAGCAACAAUUUACUGUUCAAAAAAACAUGAACUCCAAAUUAGAACUCGAAGUGGUGGUCAUGAUUUUGAAGGCCUUUCUUAUGUCUCUGAAGUUCCAUUUGUCAUAAUUGAUCUGAUUAAUUUUCGAUCAGUUGACAUUGAUGUGGAAAACAAAAUUGCAUGGGUUCAAUCUGGUGCAGUUCUUGGUGAGCUAUAUUACAGAAUUGCUGAAAAAAGUAAAACUCUUGCCUUCCCAGCUGGUAUUUGUCACACUGUAGGUGUUGGUGGAUAUUUUAGUGGAGGAGGUUAUGGCUUAUUAUUUCGAAAAUACGGUCUUGCCGUUGAUAACAUAAUUGAUGCUCAAUUCAUUGACGUUAAUGGACGAAUUCUUGACAGAAAAGCCAUGGGAGAAGAUUUGUUUUGGGCCAUUCGAGGAGGUGGAGGGGGUAGCUUUGGCAUUGUUAUCGCAUGGAAAUUAAAGCUGGUUCCGGUUCCAGCAACUGUGACUGUUUUCACCAUUAGCAGAACAUCAGAACAAAAUGCGAUCAAACUUGUCCACCGUUGGCAAUAUGUUGCACACAAGCUUCCCGACGGAACAUUCUCCUUGGUUGGCUUAAGUAGUGUGAAUUCUAGUCAAGAUGGGAAAAAGACGAUUUUAGCUUCCUUUAGGUUAUUCUUUCUCGGUGGCGUUGAUGAGCUUGUUCCAUUGAUGCAAGAGAGAUUUCCAGAGCUUGGACUAGUAAAGGAAGAUUGCACUGAAAUGAGUUGGCUUGAAUCUAUUCUCUACUUCGGUCAAAUUCAAAAUAAAUCCUUGGAUAUUUUGCUUGAUAGGACUUUCCAAAGUCCUCUCAUUAGUCCAGCCUUCAAAGCAAAAUCUGACUAUGUAAAGGAACCUGUUCCUGAAAUUGCGUUAGAAGGGCUAUGGUCAAAGCUUUUUGAGGAAGAAGCAAAAUCUGCCGGUAUAGUUUUUGUGGCUUAUGGGGGGAUAAUGGAUGAGAUUCCAGAGACUGCAACUCCAUUUCCGCAUAGAGCUGGCAACUUAUACAAAAUCUUAUAUACCGUAGGUUGGCAAAAAGAAGACAACAAAAAUUCCCAGAAGUACAUAAGUUGGAUUAGGAGAGUUUAC